GACGUGGCGGCUGCUAUACAUGCAAGUCGAACGCACUCUCGUUAGAUUGAAGAAGCUUGCUUCUGAUUGAUAACAUUUGAGUGAGUGGCGGACGGGUGAGUAACACGUGGGUAACCUGCCCUAAAGUGGGGGAUAACAUUUGGAAACAGAUGCUAAUACCGCAUAAAACCUAGCACCGCAUGGUGCAAGGUUGAAAGAUGGUUUCGGCUAUCACUUUAGGAUGGACCCGCGGUGCAUUAGUUAGUUGGUGAGGUAAAGGCUCACCAAGACCGUGAUGCAUAGCCGACCUGAGAGGGUAAUCGGCCACACUGGGACUGAGACACGGCCCAGACUCCUACGGGAGGCAGCAGUAGGGAAUCUUCCACAAUGGACGAAAGUCUGAUGGAGCAACGCCGCGUGAGUGAAGAAGGUUUUCGGAUCGUAAAACUCUGUUGUUGGAGAAGAACGUAUUUGAUAGUAACUGAUCAGGUAGUGACGGUAUCCAACCAGAAAGCCACGGCUAACUACGUGCCAGCAGCCGCGGUAAUACGUAGGUGGCAAGCGUUGUCCGGAUUUAUUGGGCGUAAAGCGAGCGCAGGCGGUUUCUUAAGUCUGAUGUGAAAGCCUUCGGCUCACCGAAGAAGUGCAUCGGAAACUGGGAAACUUGAGUGCAGAAGAGGACAGUGGAACUCCAUGUGUAGCGGUGAAAUG
rnacentral:rRNA from 2 species